rnacentral:lncRNA from 1 species
GUUUUCCUCUGCCUAGCAGAGGAAAGUGCAGCAAGCUCACUUCAAGGACAGUUAUAAGAUAAUACUGUUUGAGAAGCCAAGGCCAAAGGAAUGGACCCCAGACACCCCCCAGCUCCAGAGCAAGGUUGAAGGAAAAAAAAAGAAAGACAAAUUCUUUUACUGUUACUCCUUUCCCAGGCUUCUUAAGCAUGAUUAUGUUUUACAAAUGUCUGUAUUUAGCCACUUGUUGUUUUUCUUUCAAUGCAGCUACAAGGCCACCAGCUAUGCAAGGCCACAAGUUAUGCUAUGCUAUAGAUUAUGUGACCUAUCAUAUUUGAUAAACGUUUGGGUUUAUUUAUUGUAAGUCUGCUUAUAAAAACCUGUCUCUGUCUUUGUUUAAUGCUCAGCUUUUUGGAUGUGAGUCCACUGAGCUGGCGUGUACCUACAAUGAACAAUCCUUCUGUACUCUCAUAUCAGUCUCUCUGGUCCUCAGUUUCCUGCAACAUUUUUGGUGACCACAAAAGGACCAGAGACAGCAGGUUUACUGUUUCCUUUGGCUCUGGGCGCUGGAGCCCUGGGCCUCAGGAGACCUGUGACCCCAGGUACCACUGGAAGAACUUCAGCCCGGAGAGGAAAUCAGCUCUCCCCUGACCCGGCGCCCCUACCCAGCAGUGCAAUGGAACCUGAAAGGAGCUACAGGACAAUUUCAGAAACAGCACCCUUCAGGAACUGCGUUGGCUGAAACCGGCAGCUCAGGACAAGUGAACCAGCCAGCAGGACCCAGACCAUUUGACUCGGCUGAUCUUGUGACAAGACUGAGUUGCUGCUGAGUACAACAGCCCUGCUCUGGUCACUCCAGAGGCUGACCAGUCUACACACGGGUGAAGCUUGAGGAAACAACAAGCUCUGCUCUAGUCACACACCAGAAGCUGACUAGUCUAUGCACAGCUGAAGCUUGAGGACUUGUCAAGCAAGUAAAUGUAGUUAGAAAUCUUAGGACUAGUAGUUUUCCUGUAAUACUGUUUUACUAUUGUUCCGUCGCUGUGCUCAAUCUUCUUCCCCAGGUAAGGACCUCUUUUGUCCUUGCUGGAUAUGAAUAUGCUGUACAUUGCUUUGCUGUUGUUACCCCCCUUAACCAUGCUAGAAGAAUCACCCACAGAAGGGUGUCUCCACCGUACACAUACUACUUGGUCAGGGAACAGCAUAACUAAAACUCUAUUGUACCAUACUUAUUAUGGGUGUAUGGGGAAUCGCUUAGGAACUUGUACUUAUAGUCAAACCACCUACUCAGUUUGUGACCCAGGAAAUAACCAACUUUAUGUAUGUUAUGACCCCAAGUUUUCACCUGGUGAAUGGUUUGAAAUUCGUGCAGUCAAAAGAAGGUCUCCUCUUAAACCAAACCAGGGUCCCUCCCUUUUACUGAGGGACUAUUUCUCUGUAUUUUGAUGCUCGUUAGGUAGCAUACCAAGACUCACCCAUCUGUGGUAACCUACCUUUGGAAAGAUACUAUAGAAAUAACUACAAAUAUGUAUGCACGCCAAGAGCAACUCCACAUUGUUCCCCUGGGACCCCAGAGAAAGAUUGUUGGUAUUGCAUAUCAUGGCACCCUAGCCACAACAAAGGUCAAUUAUGCUUACCAAAAUGCUGGUGGACUGCAGGUUCCUCCUUACAUGUCUACAUACACACAUACCCAGCAACCUUCAUAUAUGUUAUCAAAAAGGGAACCCAGACCCGUCUGGCCCAGCAAGGCACAAAAAUGAGGAACGCUAUCUAUCAGAACAGAUUAGCUUUAGACUAUCUCCUAGCCCUAGAAGGAGUAGUAUGUGGAAAGUUCAAUUUAACAAAUUGCUGCCUGGAAAUCGAUGACAAUGGAAAGGCAAUUAUGGAAAUAACUGCAAGAAUGAGAAAAUUAGCCCAUGUUCCAGUUCAAACUUGGAAAGGGUGGUCUCCAGAUUCUCUCUUUGGAGGCUUGGUUUUUAUUUUUCUGAGGGUUCAAGACUUUAAUAGGAGUGGUUCUGGCCAUAUUAGGAAGUUGCCUAAUACUCCCUUGUCUCUUACCUCUCCUUGUUAGAAGCAUUCAAUCGAGUAUAGAGGCAAUAGUAGCUAGGCAAACUACCACUCAGCUAAUGGCUCUGCAUAAAUAUCAACCUUUGUCUAAAUAAGAAAACUCGUCCCUUCAGGCAGAACUAAGUAAUAGUGAUGCCUUCUAUUAAACUUCUUUUAUAAAAGGCAUCAAAGGGGGGAAACUGAGGCAGAAAUUUAAAAAUAAAUAUGCAUUCAUUCACUCCAAGAAAAGUAACAGAAAAGGCAAGGGUUAAAAAGAAAAGAACAAGUUUUCCUCUGCCUAGCAGAGGAAAGUGCAGCAAGCUCACUUCAAGGACAGUAAUAAGAUAAUACUGUUUGAGAAACCAAGGCCAAAGGAAUGGACUCCAGAUACCCCCCAACACCAGAGCAAGGUUGAAGGAAAAAAAAGAAAGACAAAUUCUUUUACUGUUACUCCUUUCCCAGUCUUCUUAAGCAUGAUUAUGUUUUACAAAUGUCUGUAUUUAGCCGGUUGUUGUUUUUCUUUCAAUGCAGCUACAAGGCCACCACCUAUGCAAGGCCACAAGUUAUGCUAUGCUAUAGAUUAUAUGACCUAUCAUUUGGUUAACUGCUUUUGUUUUAUUUAUUGUAAGUCCACUUAUAAAAACCCGAUUCUGUCUUUGUUUAAUGCUCAGCUUUGUGGAUGUGAGUCCGCUGAGCCAGUGUGUACCUAAAAUAAACAAUCCUCCUAUACUCUCA